UGGGGAAUUUUGGACAAUGGGCGAAAGCCUGAUCCAGCAAUGCCGCGUGUGUGAAGAAGGCCUUCGGGUUGUAAAGCACUUUUGUCCGGAAAGAAAUCCUUGGCUCUAAUACAGUCGGGGGAUGACGGUACCGGAAGAAUAAGCACCGGCUAACUACGUGCCAGCAGCCGCGGUAAUACGUAGGGUGCAAGCGUUAAUCGGAAUUACUGGGCGUAAAGCGUGCGCAGGCGGUUUGCUAAGACCGAUAUGAAAUCCCCGGGCUCAACCUGGGAACUGCAUUGGUGACUGGCAGGCUAGAGUAUGGCAGAGGGGGGUAGAAUUCCACGUGUAGCAGUGAAAUGCGUAGAGAUGUGGAGGAAUACCGAUGGCGAAGGCAGCCCCCUGGGCCAAUACUGACGCUCAUGCACGAAAGCGUGGGGAGCAAAACAGGAUUAGAUACCCUGGUAGUCCACGCCCUAAACGAUGUCAACUAGUUGUUGGGGAUUCAUUUCCUUAGUAACGUAGCUAACGCGUGAAGUUGACCGCCUGGGGAGUACGGUCGCAAGAUUAAAAACUUAAAGGAAUUGACGGGGUCAUAGCUGUUUCCU
rnacentral:rRNA from 1 species